CUGAGUUUCCUUCAGUGCUGGAGAUCAUCCUCUAAGGAUCUCAAGCCACAAAAUGCCAUGAUCAAUGUUGUAUGAAGAAAGGUUGUAACAUCUGGGACCUUUUAGUUUAUAGAAAUGGUAAGGAAGAGACAACAUGAUAGUAGUUUUAAAAAAUAUGCAUGGCAUGGAGAAAGUGGAUAGAGAAAUGUUUUUGUAAAACUAGAACUCAUAGACCAUUGGUGGACUUUGGGGUCUGAAAUUUCAGUGGUGCCCUAUGUGAUGCCAAAAUUCAGCACCCCUCCUCUCACCUUCUAUUCUAUAGCAUAGCUGUGGUGUCCCCUGUGGCUUACCGUCUGGUGUGACCAAACCACAUAUGCUCACCUAAAUUUGGCUCUGCAUAGACAAGCAAUGAAGCCAAAUGUUGGAAAUUCAGAAAAGAUAAAAGUAUUUCUUCAUGCAGCAUAUAGUUAAACUAUGGAACUCCCUCCUACAGGAGGCAUUGAUCGCAACCAACUUGGGUGGCUUUUAAAGAGCAUUAGACCACUGAUGAUAAGGCUAUCAAUCGUUACUAGCCAUAAUGACUAUGCUCUGCUUCCAUGGUUGGAAGCAAUAAUAUUUUGGAAUACCAGCUUCUGAAAAUCUCUGGAGGCAAGAGUGCUCUUGUGCUUGAGUCCAACUUGGGGGCUGGCCACCAUGAAAACAGGAUGCACUACUACACGGAUCAUUGCCCUGAUCUAGCAGGUUCUUAUGUUUUUAUGGGUCCUUCACUCAGAAGUGUUGUGUAAACUCAAGUUUGUGUGUGAAUCUGGUUCUUUGGUUCUUAUACUAUAUUCCAGACAGAGUUUGCAUAUUAAAACAUCACUGGUGUUAAUAAGACAAGGUUAGGUACAUGUCUAAUUCUCCCACAACCAUCAGUGGGACUUAAAAAUAGUUAACUGUGUCUAGAUUUGAUUAUAGCAUUAGUAAUUAAAUCAAAAACUAUUCACCAUACAAAUAGGGCUUCACAUCUUUCUUUCCUGUCAGCCUCUAUAAGUUUAACCAUGCAUGUAAUGACAGGCAGAAAUUUAACAGGUGCCUUUCCCAGGAAGGAGAUUCGGUGAUAAGAAAUUGUCCAUAGGACUUCUGCCUCAACAAACCUUUUAAAGAUAAAGUAGCACUGCUGUUCUAUACACAUAACUUUUCUUAAAUGUGAAUGCCAUUCAUUGCUUCUUAUAUCUGUCAAUUUCUUUGACCCAGACUUUCUGGGUAGAAUUAAACAAAUCUCCUAAAAAGCAGUGCUGCCUGCUUUUCUUCAGAUUUUAUGCAGAGAAUUCCUAAUAUUCUGUCAAUCUGCAUAUAAAAUGGAGACCAAAUUAUGCACAGGCAAUAAUAAAAAUUGUGUUUUUUAGCUCCCCCCCCCCACUUUCACAGAGGGCAGUAAAAUGUUCCCAUUUACUUGAAAGGAAGAAAGAUAAGCCUUCUGGUUCAUGACUUAUUAGGCUUCUGGCUAUGGCUUAGUAGUGUCAGUUAGCUCCCUGGAUGACUUUUCUUUUUCUUUUUUCAGAAGCUAGAGAAUGGAAUAAAAUUGAAUGAGGAAACACAUUGUAAAAUAAGAAAGAACACAUCUAUUUAAAAAAGGACAAUUCCGGGUUUUGAAAGCUGAAUUGGGGGCAUUUUGCUGGCGAUCUAUCUCAGCAGGCGAUCCCCGAGGCACUGUGUUUGAGACAUACAAAAUGCCUCUGGGGCACAGAGGAAACACACCUGCUGUGAUCUCCUUUUCAUUGGGGCAGGUUGUGUGUCAGCUCUGUCUGUGAGGUGCAGUUAAGAGCAAAGACCUAGACACAUCCCUCCAAUUUCUUGGAGUCUCUUACAGAAAUGCCCAUAUGUUUUUGGAUACCAAGUUGUGAGCAGUGCAUGUUUCUUUGGUCUACAGGUAUAAAUCCAAUUACUAAGACAAGGUAUGGGGAUUUUGUUUUUUGUUUUUUAAAGAGAUGGCAAUGGACAUUUUGGAACAGCCUUCCCCAAACUGAUGCUCUUCAAGUGUUGUUGAGCACCAGCUGCCUUCUGCCCCAGGCAAUGUGGGCAAUGGUCAGCGAUGAUGGGAGUUGAAUAUCUGGAGGGCACCAGAAUGGGAAAGCUUAGUUUAGUGAAUAGCUAUUAUGUGUUCGUGAAGCUGCCAGCAUGAGUUUGACCAAACUGCGGGAGGCAGAAGUGACUGGCGUGCUCUGGUCCAUGGGGUCAUGAAGAGUCGGACACGACUAAAUGACUAAACAACAACAACAACAUUAUGUUGGUUAUACAGGCAACUCCCCGCUUGUGCAGGGGUUGAAUUCCAAGGCACUGUGUUGGUGGGGAAUUCAUAAGCCUGCCCCAUUCUGCUCCACCCCGUUCCACCCACUUCUAGGGCCAAAAAUGGUGUGUGUGUCAGCAGUCACAUUUGUGCUAAAUGUGUGCAAAUGAGGAGUUGCCUAUAUUGUCAGUUAGAUAUAUACCAAUAAGUAUUAAAUUAAAAUGUAGAAAGAGGUUUUUGAAAAAUGAAUGGCCAUAGCACAGUGUUAGAAGACAUAAUUUUCAUGAAGAAGGUCCCAAGAGUCCUGGAAGAUCCCUGCUAUCUCCCAGGUAGGAUUGGAAAAGAUAACCACCUGAAACUAUUCAGUGCUGCCUUGCAUAUUGAACUUGAUGGAACUUUGGUCUCAUUGGUGCAUAGCAGAUUCCUAUGUGCCCAAACAUGACCACUGUGUAGUUGAAUUCUCAUAUCAUAAGCUCCAAAUGCCAAAAUCCCAUCUACUGCCCAAUUAUUAAAUGUACAGAAACCUUCUCUUCCUUUGUAUCUGGUCAUCCUAGUGAGAUGAGCAACUGGUGGUCAGGGGAGCUGAGUCCACCCACCCAAUGCUAUGCAUACCUCAACCAUUCCCUUCCAAGGAAGAGCAACGCAGGUGAAGAUCUGUCCAGUCCUCUCCUGCAUAUAAUAAAACAGAACUUUGAAGCCCCCC